rnacentral:rRNA from 1 species
UACGGAGGGGGCAAGCGUUGUUCGGAGUUACUGGGCGUAAAGCGCGCGUAGGCGGCCCGUUAAGACAGGUGUGAAAUCCCUGGGCUCAACCUAGGAAUUGCGCUUGUGACUGGCGGGCUCGAGUACGGUAGAGGGGGGUGGAAUUCCUGGUGUAGCGGUGAAAUGCGUAGAUAUCGGGAGGAAGGCCGGUGGCGAAGGCGGCCUCCUGGGCCUGCACUGACGCUGAGGCGCGAAAGCGUGGGGAGCAAACAGG